UUUUGCGUUCCUCAGAACAGAACCUUAGUAACCUAGGCUAUUUUGCGUUCCUCAGCCAGAUCCUUAGUAUUAGGCCUAGUUUGCGUUCCUGAGACAGAUCCUUAAUAACUUAGGCCUGUUUUGCGUUCCUCAGCCAGAUCCUUCUCCCCCCCGGCAGAGCCCGCCAGCCCCCCUGUGCUCCUCGGCGACCUGCAGUCCCCCCUCCCCGCCGGCUCCCUCCUCCCCCUCGCCUGCGCCAGCCACGGGGGUCACCCGCCCCCCACCAUCAGGAUCUACAAAGAGGCGACAGAAGUACCCACUGACCUGAUACUCGAAGGCAACGUGACCCGAGCUGAGGGCCAGGUCACGCUCACAGCAGCUGAUAACGGUGCCCUUAUCUCCUGCGAACUCGUCAGGCCCGGGAGCAGGUCACCGCUUAUCACGACGGGAAAGCUGUCUGUUCAGUUCGCUCCGUGGGGGUCUCAGCCACACCACGCCCC